ACCUGGGUGGCUCAGUUGGUAGAGCGUGUGACUUUUGAUCUCAAAGUUGUAGGUUCGAGCACCAUAUUCGGUG
rnacentral:tRNA from 1 species